rnacentral:rRNA from 1 species
UCCUCCCUCUGGCGGCGUGCUUAACACAUGCAAGUCGAACGGAAAGGCCCCUUUGGGGGUACUCGAGUGGCGAACGGGUGAGUAACACGUGAGUAACCUGCCCUUGACUUCGGGAUAACUUCAGGAAACUGGGGCUAAUACCGGAUAGGAAUCCUUGCUGCAUGGUGGGGGUUGGAAAGCUUCGGCGGUUUUGGAUGGACUCGCGGCUUAUCAGCUUGUUGGUGGGGUAGUGGCUUACCAAGGCUUUGACGGGUAGCCGGCCUGAGAGGGCGACCGGCCACAUUGGGACUGAGAUACGGCCCAGACUCCUACGGGAGGCAGCAGUGGGGAAUAUUGCACAAUGGGCGGAAGCCGGAUGCAGCAACGCCGCGUGCGGGAUGACGGACUUCGGGUUGUAAACCGCGUUCAGCAGGGGCGAAGCUUGUGGUGACGGUACCUGCAGAAGAAGCACCGGCUAACUACGUG